CUGAAAGGAAAAUGGGUCAUCAAGAGACAAU
rnacentral:piRNA from 1 species